rnacentral:ncRNA from 1 species
UUCUGCCCAGUGCCCUGAAUGUCAAAGUGAAAAAAUUCAAUGAUGUGUGGAUAAAUGGCAGGAGUAACUACAAUUCUCUUAAGGUAGCCAAAUACUUUGUCAUCUAUCAGGGAGGUGGAGGAAUGGA